rnacentral:rRNA from 1 species
UACAGAGGGGGCAAGCGUUGUUCGGAAUUACUGGGCGUAAAGGGCGCGUAGGCGGCCUGUUAAGUCGAACGUGAAAUCCCCGGGCUCAACCCGGGAACUGCGUCCGAUACUGGCAGGCUUGAAUUCGGGAGAGGGAUGCGGAAUUCCAGGUGUAGCGGUGAAAUGCGUAGAUAUCUGGAGGAACACCGGUGGCGAAGGCGGCAUCCUGGACGAGAUUGACGCUGAGGCGCGAAAGCUAGGGGAGCAAACGGG